AGAACAAGGAAAAGAGACUUGUUGGAGGGACUGGAGGGAGGAUGGUCUGACUGAGGCAUGGGUGAGAGUGCCUUCACACAGGUUUGACUUUCCUGGUUCAAGUCUCCUCUUGGAACCAAAGGGGAAAGCACUCAGGCUAUCAACUUGCUCAGAUGUAGAGCAGAGUAAAGGGUGAGGCACAAAAGAUGUCAGCAAUGAAUGUCACAAAAUGAAUUAAGAUUCUGUUCUUGAAAGGAUUUGUUUAUUGCAUGAGAGAGAGAGAGAGAAGCCAGAACAUCACACUGGCACAUGGGAAUCAAACAGGGAGCCCCAGACGUGUUAGUCAGUGCUCUACCCAUCCCCUGGAUUCCGAUUCUUGUUUUUUGGUGUUUUUUUUAAGUAUUUAUUUUAUUUAUUUAUUCCCUUUUGUUGCCCUUGUUGUUUUAUUGUUGUAGUUAUUACUGUUGUUGUCAUUGUUGGAUAGGACAGAGAGAAAUGGAGAGAGGAGGAGGAGAGAAAAAUAGACACCUGCAGACCUGCUUCACCGCCUGUGAAGCGACUCCCCUGCAGGGAGCCGGGGUUCGAACCAGGAUCCUUAUGCUGAUCCUUGUGCUUUGCGCCACCUGCGCUUAACCCACUGCGCUACAGCCCGACUCCCCCGAUUCUUGUUUUAUACAACACCAGUAUAUGAUCAACAGGCCUGGAGAGAGCUUACCAGUCUUGUGUUAUCGUGUGUGCAAUCCAAGUUUAAGCCCCGGCACCAUGUGAGAGUACUAUGAUACUGGGGACAACUCUAGAGCUGUGUUCUUUCUCUCUGCCCCACCUUGUCCCCCCUCAGCCUUUUUGUGUCUAUUUGAAUAAAACACUUGGCCCAGAAACGAUGAAAUGGUGUGUGUGGAGACUCUUCCUCUGCAAAAUAAUGAUGAUGAUGAUGAUAGUGGUGGUGAUCCAAAAGAGAAAAAAGAUGUUUAUGGAGCCAGGUUGUUGUGUGGGUACUGGGGAUGGAGGUGAAGUCUCUAGUGCAAGGCAGAGUUAGCCUGACAGAAUAGCACUGUGGGUGGAUGGCAGAUCUGUAGGGACAGAAGCACAGAGAUUUGGAGAGACGGCAGUAGAAAUAUGAAGACAUUCUCCCUGGCACCUUUCGUGCUGUUAAAUGAGGAACCGACUCAUCAGUUGAGUAAGGAGAGUACAGAGGGUCAGAGGGCAUGAGACGAGAGAGAUAUGCAAACGUCAUCUCACAGCACUUAAGAAAGAACUGUCAUAGAGACACUUGAGGUUUUGCUCAUAAACUUAAAAGUUGGCUGUCCACCAUAGCUGCCUUUAUGGUGUCCCCUGCCAGUUCAUUGGAGUAAUGGUUGAAUUUCACAGGGUCAUGUUUUUACCAAGUGAUUUUUACCACGCCUGGCUUCCCCCGAAAGCAGCCUGAGACUUACAGACUAUUCUUACAGUGACAAGGAGGCAAGCAGGAGGCAGGGAAAGUGGAGAAGCCAGCGUGAGGAUAAGAUCAUGUUUGUAGUCUUUUGCUGUUUUGUUUGUUUGUAGUCUUCAUAACCACUGAAGUAUAUGUUUGGUCUGGGGGCAGGGGACUGAGUUGCCAGGGUAUACUGGGUGAACUGUCUUAAGUGGAUAUUGAAAGUACCAGAAGUGAUAACAAUCAGGCUCAGAUCAUCAGAUUUCCUGCAAGCUUUGACUUGCCUACCCACCCUUUCUUUACACAGCUGGAUGCUUCACACAGCGAGGAGAUAAACUCUCUAGUCCUUACUGGCACUCCUCACUGGUGCCAGAGAGAUUCUGACCCCCUGUCCCAUGUGUGUUAGUCCUCCAAGUCUCUCCUCCCAUAGAUUCAAUUUCCCAGAGCCUCCUGUAUUUGGCAAUCUGUUAUUCCUGUAAUAAAUUCCUUAGUUCCCUAAUUCUUUGCUUCCUGACGAGUACAGUCUGAUGGAGGAGACACAGUGGUGAGCAGGCACUUGUAAACCAGCAUCAAAAGUGCUAACUUCACCAGCUGUAGCAACACCUGGAAGGUGAAGGACAUACUGGCAUCACAAGUGGCUCCAGACUCAGCCAGAUGAAGACUGUUUAAGACAAAGAAUGGAGUUAGGUUCUUCCAGGCCUGGAGGAGCCAAGAGCCAAGGUGAAGCUGGAGAGGGAAGUUGCACAUCUAACCUCUCAUCAGUAGUUUCACAGGAAUUUUCACAGGUUCACCCCAGAAUUUCCUUUCACUUGUACAACACUGCAUAGAUGGCCUGGUGUGUCAAGCCCAACAUCAGUGACACCUGAAGAGCACUCACUCUCCCAAGUGGAAGAAGACCUCCAGCUACCUGCCCUUAGUUCCCACGGCAUCUAGAGUGGCUGCAGAGGUCGCUUGCCGAAUGUGUGUGUUACCUGAAAUGAGCUAGGUUUUCAAGUGGCUUAUUGCCAAGUGGAUUGGAAAGGCAAAAAUAUCAUCAAAGACCCUGAGAUGCUAUCAGAACAUUACAAGAAAAGACUUGGAAAGUAUGCAUGGCUAGGAAGCCAAGAGGACCUUUAAUCCAAUGAAUGUGGAGCCAAAAGUAUUUUAAAGGGGAGAGAAUGAAAUCAGCCUCUUCCAUAAAACCAUCUCCUCGUUUUCCAGUUUAUUUCCACGACAAACAAGCUAGAAGUUACAUGGGAUUUAAUUGGCAAGGGUGCAGGAACAAUUGAUUGCUCCCAAGACCACAGAAAACAGCAAGAUCUAAAGAACCAAAAACUAAAAUUUCAUGAAGCCAGAAUGAACAACAAAUUAAAUACAACAGAUGCUCAAGCCACAGUCAGGAGCCAAGGAGAAUGCACAAACUCAGCAUCCUGUAGAGCAAAAGAUCACUGAAUCACAAGCAAGGUCCUAGUCUUAUGCUUUCUUUUGUUUUGCUUGUAGAAACUGGUCAGGCUGUGGAGCAUGGGCUGACAGCCAAAUUUUAAGGUCCAGAGUUGAAACUGACUCCACUCUCUCAAAUGUAGAGUGGAGUUGGUAUUUUCCACGAGGGGUAGCCCUUUGGGAAGUUGAAACACAUUCCAGGAUAUAGUUGAGGUAAAAGCAUAUGCACCCCCGCCCAGCAAGAGCUCAUCUAAAUACACAUAAGUACUUGAACUAAGCUGGGCUCAAGGCAGUCAAAUGCUUUUCCACUCUGUGCCUAGUUCCUACCUCAAAGGAGAAGAGUGGGGGGUGGGGGGUCAGGCUUUCAGCUGACCGGGUGAAGCAAGGAAGUGGUGGAAAUGGGAAAGAAAACCAUGGACAGGGAGUCGGGCGGUAGUGCAGCAG